CCUACGGGUGGCUGCAGUCGAGAAUUUUUCACAAUGGGGGAAACCCUGAUGGAGCGACGCCGCGUGGAGGAUGAAGGCGUUUUCGUCGUAAACUCCUGUCAAACGGGAACAAGAAAGUGAUAGUACCGUUAGAGGAAGAGGCGGCUAACUCUGUGCCAGCAGCCGCGGUAAUACAGAGGCCUCAAGCGUUGUUCGGAUUCAUUGGGCGUAAAGGGUGCGUAGGUGGUUUGGUAAGUUGAAGGUGAAAUCUCGGGGCUUAACUCCGAAACUGCCUU
rnacentral:rRNA from 1 species